UACGAAGGGGCUAGCGUUGCUCGGAAUCACUGGGCGUAAAGCGCACGUAGGCGGAUUGCUAAGUCAGGGGUGAAAUCCUGGAGCUCAACUCCAGAACUGCCUUGAUACUGGGAUCUCGAGUCCGGGAGAGGUGAGUGGAACUGCGAGUGUAGAGGUGAAAUUCGUAGAUAUUCGCAAGAACACCAGUGGCGAAGGCGGCUCACUGGCCCGGUACUGACGCUGAGGUGCGAAAGCGUGGGAGCAACAGG
rnacentral:rRNA from 1 species